rnacentral:lncRNA from 1 species
AACCUAGUGCGACGUGUGGGCGUGGCGGGGGCUGGGGUCUGCGGGCGAAGGUGGCAGCCCAUUGGAGGUCCCGGGAGCGAAGUCCAGCUGCCGUUAGGCGCUGGGAUAGUCGCACGCUGGAUGCAUCUACGUCCGCCGAGCCCCUGGGGCGAAGAGGCCGCGUCCGCCUUCAGUUGUGGCCGGUGCUUCGCCCCCUGACCCUUCGCCCCCAAAGACCAGCUCUAACGUUAAUUUGGAGUGGCCCCUGGAGUCAGUUUCCUACACCAUCCGAGGCCCCACCCAGCACGAGCUACAGCCUCCACCAGGAGGGCCUGGAACCCUCAGCCUGCACUUCCUCAACCCUCAGGAAGCUCAGCGGUGGGCAGUCCUAGUCCGAGGUGCCACCGUGGAAGGACAGAAUGGCAGCAAGAGCAACUCACCACCAGCCUUGGGCCCAGAAGCAUGCCCUGUCUCCCUGCCCAGUCCCCCGGAAGCCUCCACACUCAAGGGCCCUCCACCUGAGGCAGAUCUUCCUAGGAGCCCUGGAAACUUGACGGAGAGAGAAGAGCUGGCAGGGAGCCUGGCCCGGGCUAUUGCAGGUGGAGACGAGAAGGGGGCAGCCCAAGUGGCAGCCGUCCUGGCCCAGCAUCGUGUGGCCCUGAGUGUUCAGCUUCAGGAGGCCUGCUUCCCACCUGGCCCCAUCAGGCUGCAGGUCACACUUGAAGACGCUGCCUCUGCCGCAUCCGCCGCGUCCUCUGCACACGUUGCCCUGCAGGUCCACCCCCACUGCACUGUUGCAGCUCUCCAGGAGCAGGUGUUCUCAGAGCUCGGUUUCCCGCCAGCCGUGCAACGCUGGGUCAUCGGACGGUGCCUGUGUGUGCCUGAGCGCAGCCUUGCCUCUUACGGGGUUCGGCAGGAUGGGGACCCUGCUUUCCUCUACUUGCUGUCAGCUCC